rnacentral:lncRNA from 1 species
GAGACUUGGGUAACAAAGUUCAUUUGACUCAGACAGAAGGUGUUAGGCACUCUCCAAGUCCCUUAACUAGUACGGUAUGCGUACAAGUUGGCUUUUAGAAUUCAGAUUGAGGCAAAAAAAAGCAUGGAAAAGCAAAAUAAACACAUACGAAGCUCGAGGUCAUCCCCGCCUAGUAAAAGAAAAUGAAAGGAAAAAGAAAAGAAAAAUCCUAAGCUAACAUAUACUAUGACUUC